rnacentral:lncRNA from 1 species
AGACUACACUCAAAAGAGAUGAAUGCCCUUUCAUUCCAUGUUUGUUCCUAGAACAAGGAAACAUAAUAAACCUUGGCUUAUAUAUAUAGCCCACUCUUUAUGAAUUGAAUGUUCAGACACCACCAUCACUUUGUCCCAUCUAUACUAAAUAUGCUACUAGGUUCUUGGUCCAAAUUCAAACCUAGUUGAGAAGUUGGAGGAAACCAACAUACCGGUUUCAUAUUGGUACUGAACUUACUCUAGCUACAUCCAAUGGCCAGUACAAGCUUAAGAAAUUACAUAAUAGAGCCAAUAGUUUCUAGUCGAACAUGUGUUGAAUUUUAGUUGAUACACAAAAUUUUCCAUGGGAAAUGCACGCAGGAGCACCAAUGACUUGUGCAUCUCCAAAUUAUACUUUCCAUUUCUAGGAAAACAAGCACACUCCAUAAGCAAUUCAGAGCCACAAUAAUGUAGUUUCAUCCUGAUAUGAAGAUUCGAUCAUGAAUUUUAUGAUAAAUAUCCAUUCAACAUAAAAACACCAUACUUAUACAAUAUGAGAUUCAUAUUCACUUUCCAAACAUGAAUCGGCACCACUUACAAGCACUAGAUGUUGAUGUGGUCGCUACUGACCGUCAUUUCUUCCAUAAGUUUGAUGCUUAGCCUCUUUCCAUGCAGAUAUAGUGUGCGUUUCAAGCUGCUAAUCUGUCAAGUUCGAACCAUGAGUUUCUAACUGCAGCUGAAGCGUGAUAAUUUUAUAAAACAAUUCAACCAAAUUAGCAAAUAAGACCACAUAAAGCUCAAGUAUACAUGUUUCUUUACAGUCUAUCACAUACUGUCGCGCUUUCGGUUAACAACAUACAAUGAAAUAGUGACACCCAUUAAUACGCUAGUCAUUUAUAUCUCCUUUUUGGGAGUACAUUGAGUUUUUGUUCUCCAUAAUCCUCCUAACAAUGUUUCCACAAUUUUCACUAAAUUAAUUCCAUAUUUUACAACUACUACUGACCAUUUUGGAUGUUGAAAAAUUCAACUAGCAUCCGUAUGAUAACAACCAGUUGAUAGCACUCGAUCUGCAGCAUGGAGAUUGAAAUCAAAGCCAAAUUGAUUGAAUUAGAGUUAGGGAGGGAGCGGAACCUACUAAAGAGGGGCUUUAGCUUCAGGGCAUGCGUAGCUACUAUGGAGCCAGGGCCCAUGCCGCUGCCUGAGGUGCACAUUGCAGCCGGGGUGCGAGCGGCUGCCUUGGAGAGCCAAGCCACCACCCAAUGUGUGCAUCGCCACCUUGAAGCUGGGCUACUGCUGUCUUGGGGCCACACUGCCACCCGGGUAUGCAUUGUCGCCUCGGGUCCAUGCCGCUGAUUGGGGUCGGGGGGAAGGGGACGGGAUGGUGUUGCAGCUCGGGACCUCCGGUAUGCGCUGAGCUGGAUUUGUGCGCCGCCACUUGGGUCUGCAUCAGUGGAGUCCACUGCUGCUCUGAUCGAUUCCGAAGCCGGAGGGGCACGCUGCUGCUGAGAGAGGUGAGGAGGACAGGGUGUGACUAUGUGAGGUUGAGGGUACGGUGGGGUCAGGCUUUGGAAGUGGUGCAUUUUAUGUGUUCAUGGUCACAACCAGCCUGCCUUUUGGCAUGAUUAGAAACCAACACGUCUCACUGAAAUUAAUUUUUCAGUCAGUUGUAGAAAAACCUAUAGGGAAAUUAUCGCUUCAAGUCAAACAGACAGGAACUUUUUAGUAUCCUGUAGUAUGUGUGCGUCGGAUUGUGCUAAACUGGGGUGCCAGUAUAUUAGCAGCCGGAUAGGUAUCCUUCACUGUGAAAAAGUAGUGGUCAUUAAUUCGCAUUUUUUUGAUCAAACUGCGAUCAGCGUUCUAGCUUCCAGUGAUGUGUCAUAGAUCUUUAAUUACGUCAACAGUAGUAUUCUCUGGUUAAUUCAUAGCUCGAAGUUAACCAUUUCAAAGUUCAAAUUUGAAGAACAUAACAUCACUGAAAUCAGAAUGAAUAACGUAACGCAGCCGAACACGCAUUCUGGACACAUCAGCAGAGACAAGAUGAUCAUCAGAAAUUCAGGAGUAUGAAAUUAAACCUGCAGUGCAACAGCUCGAACAUUUCAUAUAGGAGUCGACAAGUACCUAAUAAGCUUCUUUGUUUUUUUUUGACAAACUCAAGUGCCUAAUAAUGUUAUUACUGUUGUUUAUUACAGCACUGGUACAUGUCAACGUCGAUCGAUCACAUUGUAUGCACAGCGGCACACAAACAUGAUCAAGCGGCAGCGCAUCCCAUCUGCUUGCCGUCCUCCACGGUCGUCGUCGUUGCGUACUGAGGCACCCUGAGGAAGUCAAGGUGGUAGAAGCCGUCGUCGUCGGACAGGCUGCCCUUGCCGACGAUGCUGCCGCCGUUAUCCACGUCGGUGACGUAGCAGAAGGCGCCGCAGAACAAGACGAGGAAGCCCGACGCAGACAGCUGCUGCACCGAGACCAGCGUGAGCCCGGGGUCCAGCUUGGGGACGUAGCGGACGCCGGGGACCAGGACGUUCUUGUCACGAGCCUCCACGGUGCCAACGCCGGCUACCGGCAGGACUGUCCCGUCGCGCCGGUGGAAAUUAGCGGCGCAGUCGCCGGCGGCUCCGCGGUCCCGUGCAGACGACUGCUUGUCGGCAUCAAGCGAGAGGACCCCAAGGUCGCCCGUGGCGUGGAACGUGGCUCCCGAGUCCACGAUGAUGCAGUGGCGAUGAGCGGUGGGCACGGACGACGACGACGAGAAGUGCUCUUGGCUGUCCGGACAUACCUUCACCGGCGGAGAAGUUGCGCCAUGCGGUGCUUCGUGGUCUGAAGAAUCUGCUGAACACAUCAUACCACCGACUCGGCUCUCCUUAUUUCAGACGCACGACUUAACGUUAUUAUCAAGCUAUAGUCAGAAACGAAACAAUUCUUUGGACAGAGGAUGUUGGUUACCUCGUUGUGGUGGUGGAGGGGCAGCAAGUACAAGGAAACAACACUGGGUGGGCCAGCUGCAGAAAGAGGAAGACGAUCGAACGUAUACGGUGGUGGCAACAACGGUUUAACCCCUAGAUUCGUCGAUCACUUCGGACGACAUCGGCAGCUACGCCUAGAAUUUGAAGGUACCAACGAAUGAAAAGGCCAAUUUGCAGAUAAUAAAAAAACGUUUUGCCUUGUAAUUGGAUUGUCCGAAGCAGAGGACUGGCUAGCCGGCCCGCUGUCUGUCGUUACUCAUGGCUUUUUGGGUCGGGCUUUUCAACCUUAUUAUGUAGCUUUUUGAAAAAACCAAAGCCAACCAAAGGGGUAAAAAUUAAUAAUUGGUUUCGGACAAAAGCUUCUUUUCCCUGACUGCAGAGGUGGCAACUACAAAAAAAAAAAAAAUACCCACUUGCUAUUAAUUAAGAGUCUGUUUAGCAGAGCUACUCUCUAGCUCCGACUCUGGCUCCUCUAGAAAAGCACAGUGCCAAAUAUUUUUCUAAAAAAACUGUUUUUAAGUAAAAAAAUAGAAGAACCAAAGCUGUUUUGACGAAGCCAUAAUUUAUGGCUUCGCCAAAUAGCUCCGGCUUUUUAAAAAAGCCCCUUACAAGAGCCCUGCCACACACACUAAGAAAGGUUGCAGUUUGUUCUUUUUGUUUCUACACUGAGCGAUUUGUCUUCGUCCUUGGUCUCACGUGAGAGCACGUCCAGGCAUCUGCUUGGGUUUAUAAUUUCUAUGGCCUUGUUUAGUUCACCUCAAAAUUUUAAAAAAAAUUUAAAAUUUUUGUCAAAUCGAAUCUUGCAGCACAUACAUGGAGCAUUAAAUAUAGACAAAAAAUAACUAAUUGCACAAUUUAUCUAUAAUUACGAGACGAAUCUUUUAAGUCUAAUUAGUCUAUAGUUGGACAAUAAUUGUUAAAUACAAAUGAAAGUGCUACGGUAACCAAAACUAAAUUUUUUUGGAAACUUAACAAGGACUAUGUCUAUUUGUUCCUUGUGUAGCACAGCUUCACUAAUAGUUUUAUGAGGUGUUGUAAGUUUUUUUUUUUGCUAAAAACCUUUUUUUGCAAAGUGCUUGGUGGACAUAGCUCCUAAAAACCUAUUGAGACAUAGGAUUAAGGUAGGAUGAAGCUGAAAACAGUAGGUUAUCUCAAAGCUCACCAUGCAGGAAACUCAGGUUUGCCCUUGCACUACUACAGAAUGAGGUAUUGGUCUAUGCCCAAAAUCGCCAAAAGCCUCGGCCCUUUUGCGGCCCGGGGUUAAGACACCUUUAUCAUCGGUUUGUAACACAGGCCAGUGCUAAAGGGCCUGCACAACGGCUACUGACCCGUGCUAUCGGAGCAGGGACCCUUUAGCACCGGUUCAUGUUACCAACCGGUGCUAAAGGGUCCCCUUUAACACCGGUUAGUGCUGCAGGCCGAGUCAAACCCUUUAGCACCGGUUCAAGGCACAAACCGGUGCUAAAGGGUCACCUUUAGACCGGGUUUGUGCCCUUGAACCGGUGCUAAUGGGUCCGGUUUAUAGGCGAAAUCAGAGAGCACCAUUGUUGUUCCUAGAGCUUGCAUUUGUUAUUCUUGCUUGUUCUUCUUUCUUGUUCUUCAUCUCCAGUGUCCAUCGUUGAUAUUCUUCGACUCCGUCAUCAUCUCUUCGUGCUUGGAGGUGACUAUCUUCAUCCUUGUCUUUUUUACGUUGUUUUUGGCUAGUGAUUUUCCUAUUAUUUUUAGCUCAAAUCCACUUUGCAAAAAUAAAUUAUAGUAUCUUUUAAAUCUUUUUUUCUUUAUAUUAGAACAUUAGAGGAUUGGAAUUUAGUUAAUGUAUAUAGUUUACAAUAAUAAUCUUAGAUAGUUGGAUAGUUCAAAUUAAUUGGUUUGUUAAUAUCACUUGAUAGAUUUUUAUUACUACAUAAUAUCCAUUGUAUAAUUUAAAAAAUUUGUUGAAGUAGCUAGACAGAUAAAGGAUAUUAUUAGAUUCUUCUUUAAUCAUACUUGUUUAUUAGAAAAUGUGGAAUUUGUAAUUGUUUAAAAAUUGAGUAUGGAUAGUAGAUGGCAACUAUGAUCGGGUCCUCGGUCUCUCAACGGGUUCAAAAGCGAUACCGGCCAGAACUCCCUCUCAUUACUUACGGCAAGUGUGGGCAGAAGAUUGUGAUGGAGUACAAAGUGUCGAAAGAUGGAGUAAACAAGGGUCGUAUAUUCUACAAGUGCCCGGAUCGUAAUGUGACUUAUUUCCAGACAUUUGCUUAUACAUGUGCCUAUCUUUUUAAUGAUGUUAUCUCAGACCUAGGAUUAAGGUAGGAUGAAGCUGAAAACAAUAGGUUAUCUUAGAGCCCACCAUGCAGGAAACUCAGAUUUUCUUUGCGUGCACCGGGGUACAAGGGGUGAGGCUGUUGGGCUUGGCUGGUGGUUGCGAGCAACACGUGGCUAUCAUCAACCUGUUUUGCUUGAGUUUUUCUACUGAAUCUACCAACCAUUCAACUGUAUUUUUCUCUUACAACAAAUUAGCGAAUGAUACAUCUAGCCAUGGCUUAUCAGCUAAGCAAAUAGGACAUCGGGGCACGAGCAGGCGCUGCUAUCACGGCCAUGCACGAUGGCAGAGAUGAGCAGUGCAGUAGGGCUAUGAGAGCAAGGUUAAUAAUAGAGCUAAGUUCUUGACUAUAAGCCAAGUGAUAAGAGCCAAGUUAAUUAUAUAGUAGUUGUCUCGUCCUUAUCUCUAAGACAGCUUCUCAUUUCUAUUCCUUCUCACAACACUUACUAGUUGGGCUCAUUACUGCUUAUGCAUUCGUAUCUAGCUUGGUGCAUACAUAAGAGCAAAGUAUUAUCUAUCUUCUUUCUUCUUUUCUCCAUAUUAGCAUCAGCUUAUCUAUAAACAUAUUAUUAUACCUGCUCUAAAAGAGCGAGCGGUGCGGCACGACCACCGGUAUAUCCUUUCAGUGUCCAGCUAAAUGCAUAUUUAAUAAGAUAUACACAAGAGUGCCACACAAAGGAAAAAAACUAUGAAUACGGAUGGAAAAACAUAUAGAUGAGUAAUUGGUAACUUUAUCUCAAUUGGAUAAAAAGUACACUACCUAUUAUUUAUAUUGUGUUAGAAAAUGAACAUGUAGAAAAAUAUCUAAUUUUAUAGAAGUAAUUUUUGUUUUUAGAAAAAAAUAUAUUCAUAUCUCAGCUUCUGCAUUGAUCAAUACAUAUAGUUGUUCUAGUUGGAGAUAUUAAAUAACAACUUAUUGCUUACGUUUUCUAAUAUUUUUGCCCGUGCUAUAUCACAGGUUGAUGGACUAGUCCAAAUAACCGAAAGCAAUACUCCCUCCAUACCUAUAAAGAAAGUCGUUUAAGACAAUGACACGGUCUCCAAAGUUUAAUAUUGACUCCUUGUUUUUAUAAAAAUAUUUAUCAAAAAGUGGUAUAUGUAUAUUUUUAUGAAAGUAUUUUUCAAGGUAAAUCCAUUCAUAUAGUUUUUAGAUUUCCAAACUCAAUAAUUUAUCUAUGAUUUAUAUUCUCAAUGUUUGACUUAAACCUUGUCCAAGACGACUUUUUUUAUGAGAGUGGAGAGAGUACAAGGUAGUAUUAUUGGGUAACCAAAACUUGCACUAUUAAUAAAUACAUGCUAAUAUCUAAAAACCCUUGAUUUCAUUAUUGGAUGCUAUCGCGGCUACAGACAAACAAUUACCUCUUAACCAACGCCCAUGGCGUGGAAAGAAUCGAAGCCAGCAAAGAGGGCUAUCAUUCGUCCAACGUGAAUACGUGAUAUAACAUCUAAGCGUGGAGUCCAAAGAAGGCCAUAGUAAAAAAUAAUAAUAAUAACAACUCAUGUUUUAGUAUACAUUUGUGUCAUGAUUAUUAUGGCAUAUUUCUGUAUACUGGAUCUGUAUUCUAGCCCACCGCUCCCGCCCCAGCAGCAAUGGUUGCCCUCGCCCUCCCCAGCUGCGGCGACAUGCGCUCGCCGUCUCCACCGAAGGGACGCCGCAUCGUCAUGGUUAGCCACCGCAAAACGGAGCCCAACCCCGACCCAGACCCGGACCCGGACCCGGACGCCCUCUCGUUCGAGCACUCAGGUGGCCUCGCCGGCCAUGCCGCGUGGGAGGAGCUGCUUCCAGCUCAUCACCUGCUCGCGCGCUUCUCCUUCAGUCCGGUGUCCGGCUACAUCAUCUACACUACAACCUUGGGCCUCACGGUUGUCGUCAAGAUCGUUAUGGGCAGCAGCGGUGAAGUGAGUCAUCUAGGCAAGGUGUUGUCUUUGCCGGAGACAGGCUCCAAGGUGGUCAGGGAAAUCUAUAACAAGUACAUGACCCGUAAACUGCAGACCAUGGAGAAACUGCUGGAGUCGCAGUCUGAACUGCGAGGCCAGGUGGUCGUGCUCGUGAAGAUCAACAACACCCGCCACCACAUCAGCGCUCAGAUCAGCACCCGAUCUGGCUUUCCGGGAUAUGAGUUGGUCGUGCUGAUCGAUGACCCAGACCCACCGACGAUGCAAGAGCAGUUUGCGAGGGCUGACGUCUUCAUAGCCAAAACAUUGGCCACGAAGAAAACGGUGUGCAGGCCGGAAGGUCCGGUAGUUGCCCACCUCUCAGCAAGCGCACAGCGAAAGGGUAGCAUUAGCUUCAUAGCCCGGAUUUAUUUCAGGCCGAUGGCCUCGGUGCUGAGGAUGGACGUGGAAGGGAAGCAGCUACGGCAGGAGAACCACCACAGAAACCUGCUGAGCAUUGACUAUAUUAAACAAGUCAGAUGGCAUUAUGAAGAUUACGUGGAGACGGGCACAUACAGCGAGUUUGUAAAGAUAAUACGGCUGCAUUAUGAGGACAUGUCGCAACAGGAACUUUACAAAGCGACUACCCUGGAAACGAUACGAAGGGAAAAUAAAAAGAUGUCGAAGUUGAAUCGCAUUCUGAAAGUUAUGUGGUCAGAUCCACAUAACACCAAAUCUUUUGUCAGUUGUCGAAGGAAGGAUAAACCCGCUAUAUGGCUUGCACUGCACAAAUUGAUUGCAGAUCACGGCUAUUUCACAAGGUAAUCAAACACUCACUAUUAACUACUCCUUUAAUUAUUGUUCGGUAGGUAUAUAUAUAUGUUGCAGGGAGAUGGGGAUGUCAAUUAUUUGACAAGCUAGUUUGAUAUUUUUGUUUUCAAAUCAAAGUAUAGAUGUAGACACUGGAAAACGCAGACACACGUACACUCAUCUCUAUGAAUGCAUGUAUGUGCACCAUACUGCUAUGGCACCUCCGAGACACCAACUCGGGAUAUCUCGAAACUGCUAUGAAAACUUUUUUUCACUCAUGAGUUUCGAAUUGGAUUUAUAGAGGCAGGAUACAAACCUUCCAAUGCAUGCUUGAGGUCUCCGUUACAUGGUAUUUACAAAAGCGGCGGAAAAUAAUAUGUGAUUUGAAGAGUCGUGCUUAAGAUGUGCAUCUGUAUAAAUAAAAAGACAUAAAAAUGUCCCCAUCGUCGGAUCCAUUCACAGCUCGCUGACGUCCAGAGUGGACUCUUGCAUCUGCACCCCCACCCACACCUGCAAAGACCAGUGUGUUGAUCCAAUCUGUGUGGAUCUACACAUCAGCACGGCACCCAGUUGCCACCGGGUUCUCUAACGCUUUCUCUUUAUCGCAGAUCCACUCCAUGGCCCCUCCUCACUAUAUCACUAUAUCACUGUCAUUUCUUAGUUGCACCGAGCUCGCUGUCGUAGCUAUUACUUCAGACCACUGUGUAACCAACUACUACGAGAAGAGGGAGAGAGACAAACUGAUAUGGACAGAGAGAGAGAGAGGGAGAGGGAGAGGAUUGCAUGCCCACCGGCCAUGCAUGCUACAACCAUUGAUGAGACACCAGCUGUAUGGAUACAUAGUGUAGGAGUCGAGCUUGGGGCGAGGAGCUUUAUUGCGUCCGCCAUUGCCACUUGAUUUUAGGGCCAUGCACUACCAUAGCCCUUUUAGUCACAUGCUGUCAGCUGCGUGGAUGCUGCUGCCCUGUGAUGGGAGAGAAGGGGGCACAGAGAUGGUGGCACACUGUUUGCCUAGAAGGAGGGACCGUACAGACCCAAGCUACUACUAUAGCCGGAUCAGGCUCCUCCACGCCAGACCAAACUCCUCCGUUUCAAUUCUUAGCCCUUCGUGAGAGCUCAAGGAGAGAAGUGAAAGGUGCCACUAGGAGUGGCUACGAUGAAGGGGAGAGGAGAAAGGAGAGAGCUGGCCGGUGCUAGGCAGCGAUCAAGGGAGUUUGGCACUUGGUGGUUGAUGUUGUUUUAAUUAAGUAUUACUAUUGUGUAUGAAUUUGAGACCAUGACUAGUUGAAAUGGCUUAUGUUCUCCAAUUGCUCAUAUUCUCAUAUGAUAGUGUCGUAGAUUCUUUCUUAUAUAUCUUUGAGCCAUUGUGAUAGAUUUAGUUACUAAUUAUUCUAUAUAUAUAGUUUACCAUCCCAUUUCAUUAUUGUACUCGUUGCUUUGCAUCAUUUUAAUUUGUAUGUUUAACUUGCAUUUAUUAGGUCAAAGAACUAUGUGUUAUGUUUUUAUUUAUAUUAACCCAAUACUCAUACAUACUUUUUCUUUACUUUAUAUAGUGCUCCAUCCCCAUUAUUGUUUUUAUUUUCUCAAUUGUUUCACAUCACACAUAUCUAUUUAACUUGUGCUGAAUUAUUUCCGGCUGACAUCUCGCAUUCGAAAAGAAAAGUACUCCAAUAGAUAUAGUGUCAUCUUUAUUGACUUCUAAUGGACCUAAGCUACAAACGAAUCUAUAUGUUUCUCCAUCCUAUUCUUAUUUUCCUUUUGCAUUGCAUAUUCAUGCAUGUCAGCCAUCUAAACCUUAUUUCAUCAAUAUAUUUUCCUUAGAAAUCGACAUGACCAUGGAUUCAUGCAUAUGUCUACAUGGAGAUAGUAGACGCAUCAUUCAUGCAUGUCUCAAAUUAUUACUUUUUCUGUAUUAAAAAUGAAACAAGUGUUAGAACCAUGUCUCGAGGUACUUUGGGGAUAUAUUUUAUAAUUACAUACAUAUUUGGUUAGUUUAGAUUUUUUUUUGGUGCAAAGUUAUGUUCUUUUUAAUAGUAGUGGAGGGUACAUAAUUUACACAACAAAUUAUGGGGUUACUUAUUACUACUUGAGAUACUCUUUUCCUAAAUUCUAUAUCAUUGAAAAUUUUACACAUGUCUGACAUCAUGAUAUUUUUAAUAAAGUGGAGUUUCGUAAUUUUGAUGCCAGUUUAUGGCUUGCAUUUUAUUAUGUUUCAUAAUCAUAUGUAUGAGUAACUUAAAUGAGGAUUAAGGGUUUCUUUACUCUAUUUUAUAAGGUGGUUGUUGUUGGGUAUUUAGAUGAUUCUUUUUCUAUAAUUAAUAAUAUGAUAGACACGGCUAUUGUUUUUUGAAAGCAUAAUUGAUCCCGCUAUCAUUGUCAACGAUAUGAUUAUAUAUUUAUCAAUACAUGGGUAGAUGUUUAUGAUUUCUCCAAUGAUUUCUUUAGGACAUUUUUUCUUUUGGUGUCUUGUGGACAUUAAGGAGGAGGCUUCUUUUCAAGAAAUAUUAAAGCGCUUAUGAUUUAUUUUGUACUAGUACAAGGUUUCCAACAGGUGGUGUUCUUGUUUUGUAUUUUGUAUCAUUAUUUAUGUACAUGUGUGUUUCAGCAAGUUUGUGAUAUUUUUUUUUCAGUAAAAAGGCCACACUGUCGGUGAGGAAAGAAAGCUGUCUUGCACAGCUAGUAGCUGCCUGCAAUUCUUCAGCAUCCACAGGCGGACACAGCGUUAUGGUCCUGCUUAAUGGAAGCAGGCGUCCCCCUAUUCGCUUGCUUCUGGACUCUGGUGCCAGUAUGCAUGUGGUCGGCGAUGCAGGGCUCCUACACAACCUCCGUCAUCUUCCCGGAGCUGCAGCCCGUUUCGCAACAUUGCCAGAUGGAUCUCGCUUGCCUAUCAUUGGCGUUGGUACCGUGCUGAUGGACGGCUUCAGAAUCCCCAAUGUCUAUCUAGUGGAGGGGGUGACGGUGAACUUGGUUUCGGUCAGCCGGCUCGCCACGGAGCACGACAUAUGCUGCUGCUUUUACAGAAACCGAUGCCAGCUGAUGCUGCUCGCUGACGGGCGGACUGGGGUUGUUGGAGAAGCCGUCCUGGAUGAUGAUGGUGUCUACGGCCUUCGGUUCCUUCGAGUUCCAGAAGCAACUGCCACUACUACAGAAUGAGACAUUGGUCGAUGUCCAAAAUCACCAAAAACCUCAGCCUUUAGUCCCGGAAGGGCAGCACCGGCUUGGGAACCGGGGCAACAGGCCCUUCCCGACCGGUGCUAAUGCCCGUCCUGCACCAGUGUGCCUGAUUGAUUGCCAGAAACUUUGUUAAACUAGUUAAUAAAGCAUGCAUCUUUCUAUUUUGUUUUACUUUUUAAUAAAAUCUCCUGUUUGGCCUCCGAGCCCCUCUAAUUUCCUCAAAAAAAAAUUUAAAACAUACAUUUAUCUCUGAAGGACAGAAAACGGCGACCAGAAGAGGGAUGAAUGAGAGCCACAAAUUUCUUUUGAAAUAUUUGGCCGAUAUCCUAAAAUCAGCCCAAGCACAAGCAGAGUUUUAGAACUAAGAUACCUAAGUCAACUAGUGACGAGAGUACCUAGAAAAAAAUUCUCGGAACAGUAGAAAACCAACGCAAUAGAUAAAAACCAAUUCGGGGCACGAACAACCAAACUGCACGCAAAACAGAAAAUUAGAGCUGGAGAAAAAGACCGGAAAAUCCCCUAGAAAAUUUGAUCAACACAGAAUAGACCGAGCACUACGGGAAACCAAGGUUUUGCCGAGUGUCAUAUGCUUUGCCGAGUGCCAAAUGUCGGACACUCAACAAAGAAGCUCUUUGCCGAGUGCUCGAAGGAUGGCCUUUGGCAAACAGGCUCUUUGCAGAGUGCCGGGCACUCGGCAAAGCACGACUAUGGUACGCACCGUCAACCUUUGCCAAGUGUCACAAUUUGACACUCGACAAAGAUGUGCCAGGAUCGAACACUCGGCAAAGUUUUUUUUAUUUUUUCCCUCCAAACUUUAUCAUAGGCAUUCAAGAGGGGUAGCACGCCAGCCUAGGGCUCUUGGGUCUGCACAGCUAGAUGCUCAUAAAGAUGGCAGUGUAUCGUGUUCGGGGUAGAUAUCCGCGGGUUUCAGUUCCUCGGGUUUUGGUUCUGGUGCCUGUUUUUUGCCUAUGGUUUUGCGGAUUCAGAUACCUGGAAUACUGCGAGUUUGGCAUGGAUCCUAAUUUUCACCCAUGGUGCUCCAUCGGGCCUAAAAGAUGCAGCCUAUUAAAAGCCCAAUAACCAACCCUAAGUAUAUAAACUUGAUUACCUCACUCCCUCAGCCUCAGCCCUAUCUGCCACCGCACGGCCUCAACUUCUGCAGUUCUGCUCCCGCAGCAGCAGGAACUUGGGUUGCUUUUCUACUAGUCAAUAUAUGGCAUUGCUAGACUUGCAUGUUUCAUGUUUCUGGACAGUACACGAACAUACUAGCCUGCUAGGCUGCUACCUCUAUAUGCAUGUUCUGUAUCGUCUAUCAUACUCAGUAUCAUCUCUUAUGUUCUGUACAUUGCAUGCUACUUGGUACUUGCUAGUACUUGCAUGAUCUAUAUCUAUUUGGCAUCAGUUUGUUGUCUCUGCUAAUUUAUUGUAAUAUUUUCAGGUGUCGGUUAAUCCGUCAGGUUUCAGGGAUCGGCGGGUUUCGGUUUUGGGUGGGUUUGGGUUUUAAUUUUGGGGUUCGGUUUUGGGUGCCCAGAGACUCUACCUGAUCCGAACCCGCCCCAUUGCCAUCAUUUGGUGCUCACGUGCUCUGCUCGAUCCACUCACAGAGGGAAAUAAAAAUUCAACCGCGAAUACCUCUCAAGAAAAAUGGAAUAAAUCAAUUUCCAAAAAGAAAGCUAACGAAAGCAAGAGUAUAGUACUUCACUCUUGCAAAGACGAAUCGACGUCCGAACAAGUAGGAACCAAUCAGAAGGCUCAGAGAAAGCACGCGCUGGACUGUUGGUGGUGACCAGAGAUAAUUCCGGUGGUGAAGAGAAACAAGUAGGAACCAAUCAGAAGGCUCAGAAACAAGCCUGGUGCACGCGGUGCUGAAGAGAAGAGUGAGAGAGUGUGGCCGGUGUGUGAGAGCAGAGUGAGAGAGGUGCAAAGGAGAGGGGGCUUCCAGUGGCACUAAGGAUUGAGGGCGGAAAUAGAGUGCCCAGGUGAGAGAGAGCCCCCCUCCCCACACCGCCGGCGCCCCUCACGGCGCCGCCGGCCACCGGUCUAAGCCCUGUGCAGGCUACCCAGGCGUCAAGUCCUGAGCCUAAGCAUGCCCCCCAGUCCCCCAACGUGCCAGAGGAUGACGAAGUGGAGGUCCUGGACUGGGACGAAGCUGGCGACCACUGCUGCACGAAGAGCUUUUUGUCACGGUUGAAACAUGCCUUUAGUCUUGGGCUGUGAGCCUGAACAAAGAUUUCGGAAUUAAAUGUCCCACAUUUAGUCCCGGUUCGUAGGCCUGGAACUAAAGGAGGACCUUUAGUCCCAGUUGGUAAUACCAACUGGGACAAAAGGGCUCGCCACUAACUGAUGUGGUGCAGCCCUUUUUAGUUCCGGUUGGUAUUACCAACCGGAACUAAAGUUUUUUUUUUCUUUUUACCUUUUCUUUUCAUUUUAUUAUUGAUUUUGGUUUUCAAUUAUAUUGUUUUCCAAUUUAUUCUUCGCUGCUAUUAUCCAUACACGUUGCACCUAUACGAGAGCGUUAUUAUUGCACACAAAUAAAGUAUACUAUAUAUAUAUUAUAGAGCUAUACAUAUACGUACAUAUACAUUACAUUUAUAAUAAUGUACAAGUAAUCAAGUGUUCGGCCGCUGGUUAUAGGUUAUACAAAUGUUUGCCUGUCGCUCAAAGCUAGCUCAUACAAGUGUUCAUCCUUGUUUGCACUGUUCAAUCUCAACCUAGGGUUGUAGUGGAACUCGGUGUCUUCGGGGAUGACAUGAUCGUUGAUGAAACCUGCUAUCGUCUCUUGGAUUGCGACGAGUAUUGUGUAGUCGAACACUUGUUCUUUCAAUUCCCACUCCUUCCAUUUGCAUUAAUUAAAGGAAAAUAUAUUAAUAUACAUAAGAUUUAUUUACUUUCAACAAAUAAAUAAGGUAUGAAUUUAAUGUAUACACAUGUUACUUACUUUGACCAUCUGUUUAGAAAGUGUAAAUUUGGUACACCGCAUGUACUCGCAAACGUAGUAUCCACAUAAAUUUGUACCAUGCCUAGGAACCCACCUAUGUAGAAUAGGAGUGGGAAGUGGCGCUUUCUGAUCCGUACGAUAUCUUUGUACGAACCAAGCCCAAGCCCUGCCCAAUAAGUCGGUCAUUGAUUAGGUAUAGCAUAGUAAAGUAAAAGAGCAUGCAUCGAUAUUUAAAGAAUGAUAUAACUUACCUCUGGAUCAUGUCUAUCAUGUCUUGGUACAUUGCCAGCUCUUUUCUCGUUGAGUCCUAGACACAUAUACAUUUGUUCUUGAUCUUAAUCUCAAUGAGUAUCCAGUGAUCACUGCAUUUGUUUAUAGAGUCUACAAUACAAUAUUUUUUUUGAAAGGCGGCAGAAAGUUUUUGCCGUAUUUUUAUUAGAUGAGAAAAAAUAAAAAGAAAUACAGUAUAAUUACAACUCCCACUUAAAAACACUCAACCACUGGAGCCAGCUACUCACAACAAAACAAAGACAAAAUAAAGAUAAAGAAAAAAACAAGAGAAAAACUUGUGGGGGUUAAUGCUGAGCUUCCACGUUUGGACUAAAGGCCAAGUGGAACUGAUCUAUGUCUUCCUUGCAUAAUCGUGCCACUUCUUUUGGUCACAGAUUCCAAAUAUUCCACCAAAAUUAUAUCAUGAGGCCAUCAAAAUUUCUCCUAUGGGGUUUGUCUAUCUGUAGCCUGCAUCUGCGACAGUACCCAUGGAGGGAUCCAUUUUCUCCCACCGUGUCAAUAGUUGAUAAUCUGAACCAAUUUUUCAUCAUGGCCCAUACUUGUUUUGUGAGAGGGCAAUCCUUGCACAAGUACGUUGGAUUUUCCAGAUUGACUCCACAUAGUUUGCACACGGGGUCAUUUGGCCAAUUUUUUUGCUAUAAAAAAUCAUAUAUUUAUAUAGAUAUUAAAUAAGACCAUGUCUCCUGCUUGCCCCCCUGGCUCGGUGAUCCCUACAAUGCUUUGGGUGGGGAGAGGGGGUGUUUGCUAAAAAAAAAAACAUGCCGACAGAAUGAAAACACGCAUUGUACAUGCCAAUGCCAACGGGACUCGCAUUUUCUUUUCCCACUAGUCCAUAAAUGUAUAAUUGGGAUGGCACGCGCUUGAGUAUAACCACUAGGAAACAGAGAGCUGUCUCCCAUAUGCAGUGAAAUGGUGAUCGAGAGUCGCAGAUGAACAUGGGCACAUGGCGUACGUUCGCUGGCCAGCAUUGAUUCUCGUCGAGCACCACUUAUCAUGUGUAUAAAUUUGGAGACCAAAUUAAUUUCUCUGAACGAGCGAUCCGAUCAGUUUAGUGCAUGACAAAGAGUAGUCUGAAGAACCAAGCACUUAAGAACAAUCAACCACAGUAAUCACCAGCAUGGCCCAGUACAAGUUUACUGAAACAGAAAACAACACGACACAACACAACACAACACAAUCUAACAAAAAUUGAAACUAUUCUAUCUUAUUACCUUGCCUAAUCGCCUAAAAUAGAAACGAUGAAGGCCAUGUUUGGUUCCUUCUGUUUUUUUUUAACACUCAUCACAUCAAAUACUUAGGCACAUGUAUGGAGUACUAAAUAUAGACUAUUUACAAAACUAAAAAUACAGCUAAAGAAUAAUUUAGGAGACGAAUUUUUUAAACCUAAUUAAUCUAUUAUUGGACACUAAUUGCCAAAUAGACGAAGAUGCUAUAGUACUUGUUAAACCUUAACAGCUUCAAUCAAACACCCUCGAAGUAGGUCAUGCCGUAGGCUUUCCAAUUCAGGAAAUCUGAAGUAAACAAAUAUAUGCCAGCACAAAUGGAUGGCAUGAGCAUAUACGGCGUAGCUAGCGGGACAUCACUGAGUACGCAUAGGAACCCUAAUUAACUUCUACUAGGUGAGCACAACUUCAAUAAGUUCGAAAGAAAAGCCACGUCCAUAUGUAUAGGCUUUUAAUUUAAUGCUGCAAUAUCUCGCUGAAGACAAGUUCCUUCUAUCCUCUUCUCUGGAUUAAUGGAAAUCCAAGUUGCCCACGUAGCAAAAGAUGAAACUUUCAGAGAUGCCACACUAGCAAACUGCCACCAAGGCCUUAUAUAUUUUGAUGUUACCAUAUUAACCUCAAUCCACAUGUGUUGGGUGGAUUGAGGUGGAAUUUAGUUCAAGUUAUACUCUAAUCUUCUCCUACAUGUGGAUUGAUGCGAUUUUGAUUACAUCCAAACAAGACCUUAUAUGUAAAUGAUUCACACAGUCGAACCAUAUGACGACGGAAAUGGAAGAACAAACAUAAUUGCUUUGAAAUUGGAACCUGAACAAAUAAAUGGAAAACUUUAAUUCAACAUCUUCAUUCUAAGCGGUGAACAAUACAAACUUGGCACUAUUUGACUAUAUAUAUAUAGGAGGAUUCUCCGCGCGUUGCCGUGGGUGUGAAGGAGGAAUAUAAAUAUAUUCUCACUAUAGUCUGUCGAGUUAUCUAUAUAUAGCUUAAUUAUUAGUAGCUAGUUUUCGAGAAGGAAAAGAGAAAGUCAUCUAUAUAUAUAGAUUGGUAAUCUUCCAUAAAACCGGGGGCUGUUUCCACAAAAACAGAGGUGUUACCAGUGCCAUAGUUCAUGUAAGAUUUUGGAGCAGCACUUUAUUGUUCUCCACAUCCACAUGUGCUAUAAAUUGCCACAAUGGGAGGAGCCCUUGUUCUUUCACUCAUCCCCCAUCUGCUUUGUUCUUCAUCUAUACACAAAACGAAGUCAAGUAAUGGAGACUUCACGGAGGAGCCUGUAUGCAGGGUUCGUGAUUGUCCUCCUUCUCAUCGUCGUCACAGGCCAUGGUAUGUGCGCACGCAUAAGGAGUCAUAAGCUAUUACUGAACCAAAAAAAUAAGUUCUUUGUCACAUGAUUUGGCUAACUUUCACAUAUGCAUGUGCGUCUUCUCAAAGGGACGGCGCCUACUCAGGGAUUCGGUGAUGGCCCAGGCCCGCUACCCCCAUGCUAUCAUUGGAGUACUUACUAUCAUGGGCUCUGCGUUUGGAAUGAAAUCUGCACAGGUCUUUGCCGACGCCAGGAUCGCAGCCAAUUUAUUCGCGGCACGUGUCGUGGCUACCCUGCUAAAUGCUUUUGCCUCUCAUGCUGACCCAUAGUGGUGGUGGUGGGCAUAAUAAUAGUGUUGCCUCCAUGUAAUGUUGUCAUUUGGCCAAUCAUUUGAGAUGGUGAAAUAAAAUUGCUGGAGCUCUACACCAAAACAUGAUUAUCAUUUUUGUAGCAAUGGUACGUGAAAGUAUAAGCUCCAUGCUUACACUAUGUGAUACUACUCUAAACUUGCAUGACAAUCAGACUAGAGAAUUCACUAAGGGAUGAGGAACCGGUGCUAUUGAGUAACCAUUUAUGGUAAACAAGGCUUAUAUUAUAAUACUAUGGCCUAAAAUAGUACUUAAGAGAAAGUAAUAUAUCGAAUACUCGAUAAGUUUUACAAAAGGAAAGAUACAAGAUUUAUACAAGACUCCUGAAGUCUACUUCUAGAAUCAAAGCAAGCUGACUCAACUCUAAAUCCCACUAAACUAGUUUAAGCUAAAGGGAUUUAGUAAGAGCGGUACUUCUUAUUCAUCUUCUUAUUGUUGUUCCUACUAAACUAUUCAAAAACACCCCUUGAGGCUAGGAACUGUAACCAGCACCUCCCUCGGACCAAGACCUAUACCUCGUGCUACACACCACAACACGCUUAGAUAAUGAGUCUCCAUUAACCUCGCACCUCAGUUGUGAAUGCACUAGAACCCCAAAUUCCAUCUCUUCAUCUUAAAUCGAAAUUUCCCAGAAUUCAUAUUUUGUGGGGUUGCCUGGUGUCCUGAUGGACCGUCCACCAAAACAAUUUUGCAGCAGGAUUGUAACACCCCCUGUUUUCCCAUCAUGAUAAAAUUCAGUAAAAAAAAUCUGAACUUUUAAAAUUUUACAGCAAAUUAAAACUUGAUUAACCUAUUUUCCCGCAAAACCGUCUCAGAAAAUGUUUAUAUUCAAAACCUUGCAUUUAAAUUUCACCAUCUGCAUUUUUAGUUCCCGCAAAAACCGUCUCAGAAAAUGUUUAUAUUCAAAACCUUGCAUUUAAAUUUCACCAUCUGCAUUUUUAGUGCUUGUGUGUUUUAGACUUUAAUUGCGUCACAAAAAUAUUUUUCUCUUGACUUUUCUAAAAUCUCCAAAUAGCACCGUUCCAAAUUCCUUGAACAAAGAAAUAAUUUUUCUCUUCUAAAAUUCUUUGUUGUCUCCUGUUCACCGAGCACGUAGCCCACUGCUCCCUCCACACCGUCUCGGAUGGGCUCAGCCCAAUGCCAAUUCCGGCCCAGGUCGCACGGCACCGCGUCGGCAUCGUAUCGUAUAUUCGUCAUUCGGCAUGCUACAACGUAUUCGUCGGUGACUCAGAGCGACGCAAUUCCUAUUCUUCAUUCAUUCAUAGUAUGCUCCAGGUAGUGAAUUGUGUUCACAUUAGACCAUAUUUCAGGAAUUGGAUGGUAAUGCAAAUUGUGUGCCUAGUCUAUGACAUGCAAAUGGUCUUGUACUCAGUGCACACACUUCACCUAAAUUAAUAAGGGAAAUACCAAAUGCUGAAGGGAUUAAUGGUGUGGAAAUAACCAAGCAAAAUAUGUGUGAUACAAAAUGUAAAAUUAAUCAUAUCUUAUGAAAUGGAUGGUAUGAAAGUUAGAAAGUGUGAUAAUCAAACACUACAGUAGGAAACUCAUUAAUUUUAGAGGCAAAAAAAUUUUGGUUUGCAUUGUAACAUUAUUUAAUUCGAGGCGCGAUAGGAAGUAUCUUACCUUGUGAAAAGAAGUGCAGCACUAUAAUAAAUGUCUAGUAGCUGGAGACAUAGUUUCAAAAAUUGAGAGAUUUGGGGGGCACCAAAAACUGGGCAUGAUUAUGCAGAACCUCAUAAGUUGGUUGCCAAAAAAUAAAAAAUGUGGUUCCAUGGAUAAUACGACAUUAUCAUCUUCCGGUAGUCAAAAGCUUCAUCCAUGCAAAAUGAAAAGCCGUCUAAAUUGCCGCCACCGCCAGAGUUUGGCACCGGAGUUUGCGACGGGAACUCUAUCGGGGGCACGUGCAAAGCUCCGCAGGCACUACUAGCACCGACGAAAGGUCAUGGGAGAGCUCAGCAGAGGUAAUGCUGGCCCCUGGAGACCAUCAUGUUCUUGGCACUACCCUCAAGACAACCGAGGUGGAGUGCUAUAUCCUACCGGGACGUCGUAAUGGCUGAGCAGAAGCACGACGGAGGCGGCGCGAUGUGGUGAGGCGCUGUUGAGUAGGGGACACAUUCGAGGUGAAGCAGGAUGGGUGGCGACCGUAGUCAAGGCGGAGCAGAGAUAUUUAAACUCGACUGCAAGGAUGACCGUUCAUUUUCUUAUGCAUUUGUUGCGGUAGAAUCAAUGAGACAAUAAUUUUUGUGCCUGUUCAGUUCAUGGGCAAAGAGGAAGCGCGACUCCAAAGAAAGCUUGUUCAGUUGCUGAAUGGCGGCUCCAAAUAAAAUGGAUGACGUGGCUUGAGGAGAUGCUAUAAAAAUAUUUUAGUGGGGUUCUCCUAUAAGAAGAUACGAAAAUGAGAAGAUACCGUGAAUGCCAGUAAUAAUUGGGCCGGGGCAUCAUAUUUCGGCGGCAUGAUAGAGAUUGGGCUUUUCCUUACCCAACUGAGUAAAUGGUCGUAUCUUUUUUUAUGACAUCGACUAUGUAUUUAGUGGAAACCUAUUAUAAUUUCUUGUUGUAUCUUUUUUUAUGAUAUCAUGAAUCUAUAUAUAACUUUCAAAUGCAAAUCUUAUCAGGUGUUGCAAUUUUUUAUCCACUUUUUAAUUGAAACACUAGUGGUCAUUGUAUCUUUUAUUUGAAUAUUUUGCUUUCAUAUGAAAAAUACCACGAAAAAAAGGUUCUGCCGAAUCAUACCACCACAAGGCCAUGACCCGAUCCAUGGCUAAGCAAAGUAUCUCCUGAUGUUGCAGUUGCAGUUGCUGUCCACCGCAGGGCCGAGCACAGCAGCAAUCGUACAGCAUGCUCCUCAUCAACACCGCACCAUCGCUGCCAUGCUAGGACUACCUCCACACCGCGCACCUCUGCAGCCAGAUCCACCCAUGUAGAUCCGGCCAGGGGUAUGGACGGAUUCGCAUGUCAGAGGCCCCGGCUGCCGCCCCUGUCACCAAUUCACCAUGAUAAAUAUUAAUGCUAUGCAAUUUGGUUGGUACGAAAAUUAAGAAACGGGCAAAAGUUAUGGUUAUUUCAAGUUGGCUCGGACUAUAUUUUGAUACUUUUUAAUUUAUUAACACUGUUUCUAUUUUGGCUUGGACUAUAUCUAUUUCUUAUUCGGAUAUGCUUGCUUCAUGGUAGACUAUAUAUGCAUGAUUCAUGAAUUGGCUGCAAAUAAUCUAAAUCGUGUGCCAAAUCUAUACCAAAUGCCAAAGGGAUGAAAUAUAUGUACGGAAAUAAAAAGCAAAAUAUGCGUGACACACUGCCACACAAAAAGUAUAAUUAAUUAUGUCAUGCAAAAUGGAUGGUGCAAAAGCUGGAAAGUCUAGCAAACACAUUAAUUUUGGAGCCCCAAGGAACACUGCAGGACAGCCUUUAUUUACUUCUCUGACAGCUGUUAAUCUUCCCAUGCAACUUGCAAUAUAGGAUCUUUUCUCAAAAACUACAAUAUAGGAUAGAAUGUCGAGUCUGUAAAAUUUCAUUCCAUAACUGUAUAUGCCCACUCCCACCAGCCAACUUUCAAUCUUAGCAAUCGAAUCACUACUAAAUAAAUCUCAUCACCGCUGGUUCUGAACACAUCGCCACAAUCAGCUUAUAGCCUCAGUUGGACUUUUCCUUGACCCAACUAAGGAAAUGGUCAUAUCUGCUCUGUUGUCUAUUGAUUUGAACAAAAUGAAAUAUCUUUAUGUAUCUUCUUAUAUGCACACACAAAAUAAAGAAAGCAGGAAAGUGUUUUGAUUCAUACAAAGUUGUAUCAUUAACAUUCUAGGAGUAAACAUUAUUAGUGAUACAUAUAAGCAUGGAAGUCUGGACAUAAACACACACUAUUGAUGAUGCACUCAUACAAUUCAAAUGUAUAGUCAAACAGAUUCUUUUUGAAAGACUUCAUUCAAAGAGAUGAAUGCCCUUUCAUUCCAUGUUUGUUUCUAGAACAAGAAAACAUAGUAAACCUUGCUUAUAUAUAGCCCACUCUUUGUGAAUUGAAUGUUCAGACACCACCAUCACUUUGUCCCAUCUAUGCUAAACAUGCUACUAGGUUCGUUGUCCAAAUUCAAACCUAGUUGAGCAGUUGGAGGAAACCAACAUGCCAGUUUCAUAUUGGUAUUGAGCUUACUCUAGCUACACCCAACGGUCAGUACAAGCUUAAUAAAUUAGUUACAUAAUAGAGCCAAUAGUUUCCAGUGGAACAGGUGUUGAAUUUCAAUUGAUACACAAAAUUUGCCAUGGGAAAUGCAAGUAGGAGCACCAAUGAAUUGUGCAUCUCCAAAUUAUACUUUCCAUUUCUAGGAAAACAAGCACACCCCAUAAGCAAUUUAGAGCCACAGUAAUGUAGUUUCGUCCUGAUAUGAAGGUUCGAUCAUGAAUUUUAUGAUAAACAUCAAUUCAACAUAAAAACACCAUACUUAGACAAUAUGAGAUUGAUAUUCACUUUCCAAACAUAGAUCAACACCACUUACAAGCACUAGAUGUUGAUAUGGUUGCCACUGACCAUCAUCUCUUCCAUAAGUUUGUAUCCUCUUUCCAUGCAGAUAUCGUAUGCGUUUCAAGUUGCUAUUCUGUCAAGUUCAAGCCAUGAGUUUCUAGCUGCCGCUGAAGCAUGAUAAUUUUAUAAAAUAAUUCAACAAAAGUAGCAUCCAAAGAUAAGACCACAUAAAGCUCAACCAUGUACAUUUCUUUACUGUCCAUCACAUACUAUAAUGCUCUUGGUUUACAACACCCAUUAAUACACUUGUCAUUUAUAUCUCUGUUCUGGG